rnacentral:rRNA from 1 species
GCUAGUCGAGUGGCUCAGCCAAAACGAGUCACGGCGUACAGCUCAGUAACACGUGGCUAACCUGCCCUUGGGACGAGAACAACCCCGGGAAACUGGGGCUAACUCUCGAUAGGCGAAGAACUCUGGAAUGAGUCUUCACCCAAACAGUUUAAGGUUAUGCUCUUUAAACUGCCCAAGGAUGGGGCCGCGACCGAUCAGGUUGUUGGUGAGGUAAUGGCUCACCAAGCCUUUUACCGGUGCGGGCCGUGGGAGCGGGAGCCCGGAGAUGGGCACUGAGACAAGGGCCCAGGCCCUACGGGGCGCAGCAGUCGCGAAAACUUUGCAAUAAGCGAAAGCUUGACAGGGCUAUCCCGAGUGCCAUCCGCUGAGGAAGGCUUUUACCCAGUCUAGAACGCUGGGGGAAUAAGGAGAGGGCAAGUCUGGUGUCAGCCGCCGCGGUAAUACCAGCUCUCCGAGUGGUGUGGAUGUUUAUUGGGCCUAAAGCAUCCGUAGCUGGCUAGGUUAGUCCCCUGUUAAAUCCACCGAAUUAAUCGUUGGAUUGCGGGGGAUACUGCUUGGCUAGGGGACGAGAGAGGCAGACGGUAUUUCCGGGGUAGGGGUGAAAUCCUAUAAUCCCGGGAAGACCACCAGUGGCGAAGGCUGUCUGCUAGAACGCGCCCGACGGUGAGGGAUGAAAGCUGGGGGAGCGAACCGGAUUAGAUACCCGGGUAGUCCCAGCUGUAAACGAUGCAGACUAGGUGUUUGA